rnacentral:sRNA from 1 species
GGCUUAUAAAAGAGAAAUCAGGAGCUCCAAGCUAAGAGAGAUAAAGAGUCGUCUGUGGUGAGUGCUGGUUCAGAUGGAAGAGUAAAAUUAGAUCUAGUGCAUUGCUAUGUUAGGCCUAGGAGGCACCAGGAACUUCCUUGUUUGGUGCACCAGGAGCUGAAGCAUUGCAGGAGACUAGAGACCAGCAUUUUGGUCUUUCAAAUCAUCAGCAGGAUACACAUGCACGGGACUUCUUAGUGGAAUAGAGCGAGUUGACAAAUUAUUCAGCCAUAGAUUCGAUUGAUUAGAGACACGGUCGUGUGGCGGUUGAUCAAUGAACUGGAACAUUGGCACGUCCAAAGGAUGUGCUUUUUGGAGAUUCCAUAUGCAUUCUGGCAAAGGCCAUGUACAACAUUGGUGUGCAAGGAUAUGAUAUAUGUAUUGAAUUAUUUAGAGAAUUGUUGGUAGUCAACUGAAUUUUUAUGAUAAAUGGCAUUGCAAGGAUGAGCUUUAUGGUUAAUUGGAUGCUAGCUUGGAUUAUGUAGAAAAUUUGUGGUUGACUCGUGUCAUAAACUGAAAGCCCACGAGCUUGAUCGAUGUGUAAAAUAGUUAGUUUCAUUCUCUUCAAGGAAUUGCAGUAUUUUACUCUUGUAGUCUUGUACCAGCUAACUUCUGUGAAUUUUGUUGACUGAUUGAUGUACCAGCCUGAGUUUUGAAUUUUGUUAAUUGCACACACAACACACAGUACUAUGUCCCUGAAAGACAGAGUAUAUAAAACCGUGUAACCAAGAAAUCUGUUUUUAUUUCACUUACACAAGUACAAUUCAUGAACACAGACCAGUGAAUUUUGAUUGAUCAUUCCUUGAAAUGAAGAAACAACCUUAUUUCUUAUGACUGAUGAAAAUGCCAUGCCUAUUCAGUUUGUCAUCACAAUUUUUUUUUUCAUUUUGUGCUUUGUACUAACCAGACACCUUCCUUCCUAGAGGAAAGAAUUUUAUAGUCCUUAAAAAAGUACCUUGAGGUAACUAAAUUUUACACUAAAAUUUUUUGUACCUUGAGGUAUUUAGUACCUAGAGGUACUGAAUUUUACACCAGAAAUAUGGUACCUCUAGGUACCUUUUCAAAAAUGAUAAAAUUACACUCCUUCCUAAUGAAUGAUGCGUCAAUCAAAAGUUUGUCACGUUUGAAGUCUGAAGUCUGAACUUUGAACCUAAUUGCUUUGAGCAGCCUUGGCAUUGGCCUGACAAGGUGCCAUAUAUUUGCAGGAAAAUGCCUUCAUGAACAUUUAGCAGCUAAAUUCCUCAAGAGAUGCUCAGCAUUACUGCUAGAUACGGUAGACUCUGCAUAUGUUGGUUGCACAAUGAACUAUACAUAACUUGAUACUGGAUUAUAGAUGCUGCAUAUAUAAUUACAUGGAAUCAAAUAUAUAGUACAUCCUUCAAUCGAUAGAUCAUGGCCUCUCUUGGUCCAUAUAUCUAGCUAGCUAUAAGAGAUGAAUAGCUAGCUAGCAGUAACAGAUGGAUAGUUAGAUAUACAUCUGUCAUGGAGACUGCUUCUAUCACUUUGCCAUGAGGCCUAGGAGGUAUUGGAAAAAUGUUGUCUAGCAACUCUAGCAAUUUCCGGGAAAUUGGACAGGAAGCUAGGCCCCUACCCACAGCGUCAUAGUGCAACUCCCCUGCUUAUACUAUAGAGAGUGCAGACAUGGAAAGAUCAAGGUUGUAAAAAUAUGCUAUCCUCGACUGAGGAAUUUCGAACUAUCGUACAUCACUACAUUUCUUUGUUCUCUUGCCAUUGUAACUACUUCUUGAAUGAUACUAUUUCUAGUCCUGCUGCUGUAUGCACAAGCACAAUGAACAUGUAGACAUUUCAUAGUUAACUGUAUUGAAUCAAAUAUUAAUACAUCCUUACAUACUAUGGUGUCAUGGUCCAUAAAAGAGAAGUCAAAGAAGCAUGAGUAAAGAUAAGGUGCUCAAUACUUGAUUUUAAGAGCUCAUAUGAUCCGUGUGUAAAUUGCAACAAUGCACAAUAUAGCUGUAAUCUGUUAACAAGAAGUCCAAGAGUUAUUCAAACAUCAUGAGUUCCGACUUCUGAGCCCUUGUGCUGAUAAUGUGCAACUAAUUUUUUAGACAAGUUAAUGGAACAUGGACAGAGCAAAACAUGCCAACACUGAUGACUGCAGGCUCAUAGCAUGUCAAAUUGAGGAGGAGCCAAUGUAGCUUUGAAAAGCAAGCAAUAAUGUACAAACAUGUACUACAGAAGUGGAAUGUUUCCUCUCUUUGUAUUGUUCCUUGUGCUAGACAGAGAUCAAGUUUGUUUUUCAUCACCAUACUCAUCCUCUUUGGAUCAUUUUGAAGUUACCAGGAGUUUCUCCGCUGUUGUAAUGUGCUAGUAAUAACUGUUGCUGCUGUGGUUUUAUUGAUUAGCCGUAUAACGGUUUCUAUAAAAAAAAUAUCACAUCAUGCAUAAGCUGGAAUUUUAGUUACGUUAUCCCAUAUCUAAGAAAAUAACACUCUAAAAAAACACAAAUAUUAGAGAACGACCUAAUAUCAAAAAAUUAGAAAGGAUGAUGCUUCGAACCGAGGCUAGCUAGUCCACCACCUUGUGAAUCUAACCGGAAGACUCCUAGGAUAUUAAAUUCAUAACUGUACUGAAAUUUGUCGGUUAUGUUCAACACUGUCACCUAAUUUCAUUGGGUCGAACUGAAAUUUAUCUACAACAGCAUGGGCAGUUUAAUUUAUAGUGAGAUCGGUAAUUUUUCAAUAAACAUAUAUACUCCCUAUGUUCUACAUUAUAAGACAUUUGGACAUCUCCAUCCGUCAUCUAGAUACAUUAAUAUCCAUAUGAAUUUAGACACAUAUAUGAAGCAUAC